rnacentral:lncRNA from 1 species
UUUACUUUCUUAACAAACUUGCUUUCACUUUAUGGACUCACCCUGAAUUCUUUCUUGCACAAGAUCCAAGAACCUUUUCUUGGGUUCUGGAUCAGGACCCCUUUCCAGUAACAGUUCUAACUCAAAAUAGAGCUUGUCUGAGAGGGCUCCUGUCAACUCCCCCACUGUGGCAGAUUGGAUUGUACCUUCUGAAGACGGCCAAAAUAACAGCUCCCAUCCCGCAUGCUCUUCUGCCAUGGGACUUGCUGCUCUCCCACCGAGAGGAUUAUAUAUCUAUAGCCAUGUGGAUAUGACAUUGCAGCGUCAUCCAGUAGCAUUCUACAAAGUAUGCAUCCCUGCUCCGAUGUCUUCAGGCUGGGUCAUGAUAUGCUUUGGCCAGUGGAACAUUAACAGAUGUGAUGUGAGUGAGGCUUUAAAUGUGCUUGCAGAGUUUGGCCUAGGUUCCUGAGCUUCUGUUAGCUGCCAUGAGGUAGCAGCCAUCUGUUCUGGUAACCAUUGGUCCUAGAGUGAGAGACAUGCAGAGCAGACCUGAACUUGAAGUCGAGUCAACCCAGCAGGUGUGCAGACCCAUGAGUGAGAAAUGAAUGUCUGCUGUUGAGAGUCACUAAGAUUUGGGGGUUAUCUGUUAUGCAAAAGCUUGACUAAUACUGUCGAAUUCAUCCCUUAUUAGUUAUGGUGAGAUUUGUGUAGCCCUCCUAUGCUAAUAAUAUAACAACUGGAAAUCUCAUUAGGUUUUGAAAGAAAUGAUAUGGAUUACCACAGGUAACCUGUAAAUGUAACAUAUUUAUACUGCUUUAUGAGUAUAGUCAUAAGUUUGAGAAAAGUCUAUUUAUCUUUUUCACAGAGCUGUUCUAAAGCCUUGAAAUCACAUUUUCUGUGGAUUUAUUGUCCAAUUGUAUAAAAGACACUUGGUUGCUGUUAAAAUGGAUGAGCUGAACUUCUAUGCUUCUCCAAUCCUCUACUACUCUUGUCUGAUGCAUGGGGUGAAAUGAUUUUCUGUAUGCAUUCUGUUUGUGAUUGCUAAGUCUUGAAAUGCAAAUGUAUUUUUACCUACAAAG